GACGAGAUUGCCGGGCCUGAGAAGCAGUUUGUCCAGGUCUCUCGACCGGCUCGGCUGCACCGUCGAGUGUGACAUUGUCCAGCUCUCUGUCUCUCGCUCCUGCUUCUGUUUUAAAAUUCUCCUCUAUUGGUAUUAAGCUUAAAGCCCAAAAGCUGAAAACCCAAAAUUGGCUUGAAUUUUACGCUUGGCUUUGUUAAGGCUUAAUAAAUUUCUCAACCACUGGCUUUCCGUAAGAAAGUUAUUUAAUUUCAUCAGCGCUCACGAAAACGGUAAUUCACAC
rnacentral:misc_RNA from 1 species